UACGUAGGGUGCGAGCGUUAAUCGGAAUUACUGGGCGUAAAGAGUGCGUAGGCGGUUCGUUAAGUCAGCUGUGAAAGCCCCGGGCUCAACCUGGGAACUGCGGUUGAAACUGGCGAACUAGAAUCUGGCAGAGGGGGGUGGAAUUCCACGUGUAGCAGUGAACUGCGUAGAGAUGUGGAGGAACACCGAUGGCGAAGGCAGCCCCCUGGGCUGAGAUUGACGCUCAGGCACGAAAGCGUGGGGAGCAAACAGG
rnacentral:rRNA from 1 species